AGACAGCCAGGAUGUUGGCUUAGAAGCAGCCAUCAUUUAAAGAAAGCGUAAUAGCUCACUGGUCGAGUCGGCCUGCGCGGAAGAUGUAACGGGGCUAAACCAUGCACCGAAGCUGCGGCAGCGACACUCAGGUGUUGUUGGGUAGGGGAGCGUUCUGUAAGCCUGCGAAGGUGGCCUGUGAGGGUUGCUGGAGGUAUCAGAAGUGCGAAUGCUGACAUAAGUAACGAUAAAGCGGGUGAAAAGCCCGCUCGCCGGAAGACCAAGGGUUCCUGUCCAACGUUAAUCGGGGCAGGGUGAGUCGACCCCUAAGGCGAGGCCGAAAGGCGUAGUCGAUGGGAAACGGGUUAAUAUUCCCGUACUUGGUGUUACUGCGAAGGGGGGACGGAGAAGGCUAUGUUGGCCGGGCGACGGUUGUCCCGGUUUAAGCGUGUAGGCUGGUUUUCCAGGCAAAUCCGGAAAAUCAAGGCUGAGGCGUGACGACGAGGCACUACGGUGCUGAAGCAACAAAUGCCCUGCUUCCAGGAAAAGCCUCUAAGCAUCAGGUAACACGAAAUCGUACCCCAAACCGACACAGGUGGUCAGGUAGAGAAUACCAAGGCGCUUGAGAGAACUCGGGUGAAGGAACUAGGCAAAAUGGUGCCGUAACUUCGGGAGAAGGCACGCUGACAUGUAGGUGAAGUGAUUUACUCAUGGAGCUGAAGUCAGUCGAAGAUACCAGCUGGCUGCAACUGUUUAUUAAAAACACAGCACUGUGCAAACACGAAAGUGGACGUAUACGGUGUGACGCCUGCCCGGUGCCGGAAGGUUAAUUGAUGGGGUCAGCGCAAGCGAAGCUCCUGAUCGAAGCCCCGGUAAACGGCGGCCGUAACUAUAACGGUCCUAAGGUAGCGAAAUUCCUUGUCGGGUAAGUUCCGACCUGCACGAAUGGCGUAAUGAUGGCCAGGCUGUCUCCACCCGAGACUCAGUGAAAUUGAACUCGCUGUGAAGAUGCAGUGUACCCGCGGCAAGACGGAAAGACCCCGUGAACCUUUACUAUAGCUUGACACUGAACAUUGAGCCUUGAUGUGUAGGAUAGGUGGGAGGCUUUGAAGUGUGGACGCCAGUCUGCAUGGAGCCGACCUUGAAAUACCACCCUUUAAUGUUUGAUGUUCUAACGUGGACCCGUGAUCCGGGUUGCGGACAGUGUCUGGUGGGUAGUUUGACUGGGGCGGUCUCCUCCUAAAGAGUAACGGAGGAGCACGAAGGUUGGCUAAUCCUGGUCGGACAUCAGGAGGUUAGUGCAAUGGCAUAAGCCAGCUUGACUGCGAGCGUGACGGCGCGAGCAGGUGCGAAAGCAGGUCAUAGUGAUCCGGUGGUUCUGAAUGGAAGGGCCAUCGCUCAACGGAUAAAAGGUACUCCGGGGAUAACAGGCUGAUACCGCCCAAGAGUUCAUAUCGACGGCGGUGUUUGGCACCUCGAUGUCGGCUCAUCACAUCCUGGGGCUGAAGUAGGUCCCAAGGGUAUGGCUGUUCGCCAUUUAAAGUGGUACGCGAGCUGGGUUUAGAACGUCGUGAGACAGUUCGGUCCCUAUCUGCCGUGGGCGCUGGAGAACUGAGGGGGGCUGCUCCUAGUACGAGAGGACCGGAGUGGACGCAUCACUGGUGUUCGGGUUGUCAUGCCAAUGGCACUGCCCGGUAGCUAAAUGCGGAAGAGAUAAGUGCUGAAAGCAUCUAAGCACGAAACUUGCCCCGAGAUGAGUUCUCCCUGAGACUUUAGGUCUCCUGAAGGAACGUUGAAGACGACGACGUUGAUAGGCCGGGUGUGUAAGCGCAGCGAUGCGUUGAGCUAACCGGUACUAAUGAACCGUGAGGCUUAACCUU
rnacentral:rRNA from 1 species